rnacentral:lncRNA from 9 species
GGGAGGGUGGCAAGGAGGGAAGAAGCCCUCCAGCAAGCAACACUUUCUUGAAAACGUCUUAAAAAAUGUAUUUUUCAAACACAGGGACUGAAGGUGAACUGGAAGAAUAUAUCCAAGACCACAAGCCCAGUUCUCUGAAGGAUGGCUCUCUGGAAAGAACGUGUGAGCCUGUGCACACGUGGGCAAUAAUAGGAAUGGAGAAGUGACAGGCACUCAGUCAUCAUCUCCAGAAAUCCUGUGUCCUGAAGUUGUUAAGAAAGGAUGCUGUGGAUAUUUUACAGAAUGAGUAAAAAUAAUCCUAAAAUUCACCUGUAACUAUGAAAGACCCCAAACUGCCAGAGUAAUUUUUAGCAAGAAGAACAAAGCUGGAGACACCACACUUCCUGACUUCAAGCUAUAUUACAAAACUAUAGUAAUCAAAAUAGUAUGGUACUGCAAUAAAAAUGGACACACAGACCAAUGGAACAGAAUAGAGAGUCCAGAAAUAAAACUAUGCAUAUACUGUCAACUAAUCUUUAACAAAGCUAUACAAGAAUACACAAUAAGAAAAGAACAGUAUCUUUAAUAAAUGAUGUUGAAAAAACUGGAUAUCCCUAUGCAACAGAAUGAAAUUGGAUACUUAAACCUUGGACAAAAAUCAACUCAAAGUGGAUUAGAGACUUGAACUUAAGACAUGAAACUGUAAAACUUUUGGAAAAAGCUGCUUGGCAUUGGCCCUGGUAAUAUUUUUUUUCAGAUAUGACACCAAAAGCACAGUCAUCAAAAGCAAAAAUAAUCAAAUAGGAUUACAUUAAACUAAAAUGUAUUUUCCUUUGUUUGUCCAACAAAGGAAACAAUAAAAUGAAAAGGCAACCUAUGGAAUGGAAAAAAUGUUUAUAAACCAUACAAGGGGUUAAUGUCUAAAAUAUAUAAGACAUACAACUCAAUAGCAAAACCCAAUAAACCUGAUUAAAAUGCAAGUGAAAGACCUGAAUAAACAUUUCUCCAAAGAGGUCAUACAAAUGUAUGAAAAGGUGCUCAACAAUACUAAUAAUCAGGAAAAUUAAAAUCAAGACCACAAUGAGCUAUCACCACAUACCUGUUAGGAUGGCUGUUGUUUAAAAAAAAUGAUAACAAGCAUUGACAAGGGUAUGGAGGAGAGGGAACAUUUGUGCACUACUGGUGGGAAUGUAGAUUGGUAUAGCUGUUAUGGGAAGUGGUAUGGAGGAUAUUCAAAAAAUUAAAAAAUGACGUAUCACAUGAUC